UACAGAGGGGGCAAGCGUUGUUCGGAAUUACUGGGCGUAAAGGGCUCGUAGGCGGCCAACUAAGUCAGACGUGAAAUCCCUCAGCUUAACUGGGGAACUGCGUCUGAUACUGGAUGGCUUGGAUCCGGGAGAGGGAUGCGGAAUUCCAGGUGUAGCGGUGAAAUGCGUAGAUAUCUGGAGGAACACCGGUGGCGAAGGCGGCAUCCUGGACCGGCAUUGACGCUGAGGCGCGAAAGCUAGGGGAGCAAACGGG
rnacentral:rRNA from 1 species